CAGCUUCAACUAUAAAUGCUAAUGUCACCACAGGUAACAGUACAACCGUUCUUUUAAAGUACAUGUUUGCUAAAAAUUUGCAGAAUAUCAUUGACACAUAUUGUAUGAAUUGAGAUCCAUCAAACUCACAUAUAUAAAUUGAAAGUGAACUUAAUGUGUUAAAUUAAGUAUUUGUAAAACACAUACUAAAAAAAAUCUGAAUUACCACAAAGAAAAAUGUUUCAUGCUUACCAUCUUAUGCAUUAAAAGGACACGGUGACCUCCGUGUAACAGAAUAACAUGUUGACCACGCACAGUUGAGGCAAUUCUCAGAAAAAAAACCAAACUAAGGUAGACUUUGUCUUUGUAUGACACAAGACUAAAAAGGACACGCCUUCUGGCAAGAAAGAGAAAGAAGAGAAAACAAUGGCAGGAUAAGAGGGUGGUCAUGAGACAGUUCCAGCAGAUCUGGAAACCCUGAAGGCUGGCGUCCAACUCUACGAUGAAAUCCAGUCUGAAUGUGGAGCAGUCACCAAUGGAGCUACAUUUGAAACUCCAGCAAAAAAGGCACCAAGUAAUCGCAUGACUGACUUGAACAUAAACACUGAGAUUUUAAGCAUUGCGUUGUUUAUGUUCUUUAGAGCUGAGUCCGAAAGUCAGACACAUGAACUGGCAAUGUCAGUCCCACCAAAUGAAAUGGAGAAAGCUAUGGCUAAGAAUCAAGAGGUGCUCAUCCUUUAGAUCGAGACAAGUGAACAAGUUGUUCUUCAGAGAUGCUUCCACAGAAAAUGGAUUCCUUCCAUCUUGAAGUGUCAUUACAUCACAAAGUUGUUAAGUUGACAUAAAUUGAGGAAAGGUCGUAAGUCUGAAGUCAUUGAAAAAUGUUGCCUGUAAACCUGUCCCAUCUGGUGUGAAUUGCACACUGCACCUCUAGAGAACAGAGCACAAAUGUUUUCAUUGAUGAGGGACCUGUGUACCUCAGACAUGCAUAAGGGAUGCGGAGGACAAGUUUAUGUGGAAACAGAGUGGAACUCAAUGAUGUCUGAAUGACCCAGGUGUCACAAAGAUUGCUCUUCAAUUCUGUAAUAUGCCUGCAGUUAAAUCAGUAGAAGAUAGAAUCAAAGAAGAAUGCAUAGCUUCUGCCUCUAUUGCGUCUUGUCCUCUCUGUUCCUUUAUGGAAAGUGGCAAUGUUGAAUGGAAAGAAGGAUGAGGAUGGAGUGUUUGUUCCGGUAUACUAGAAAUAGCUGAUGGCUUGGCCCCUCUGCCAAACAGCUCUGCAAAAAACACUACUGUCAGGAGAUGGUCAAAAAACUACUUUCAUAGAGGUUUGCACUUUAUUCAGAGUGGUGAAAAGGUUCACAUGCCUCUUUAAUUCGGUGAUAAAGGAUUCUCCAGAUAGGAGCCCAUUAGCAAAGGGUCUUAGCUCCUUCUUACCCAAGUAGCUUUGUGUCUAUCUUCAGAAGAGCGGACUUGCGAUGUUCUGUAAAAAGAGCAGUGUUUGUAUUGCCAAGCAUGCAGAUUGAAUGCUGAGCCCACUCUCGGAUGUCAUUUGGGUUGAAUUGCGUGUCUGGUGAGAGAUCCAGAUCAGCAAAGUAUAGCAAUUUUAUCCAGAGGACCGAGGAUAUCCAGAAGUUUGUCUUGGGCAGCUUUUAAGUCCUUUUCAAUACUCUUGCGGACGCCAUGACCCAUCCAGGAUAUAAGGCCCACUACCGUAGUGUAAAAUAGUGUACGCUACUUUGGGAGCAGCGGGCGAGGGCAUUUGGCCCAAAGGUGCAUGCACACCUUCUUCUCUAAUUGCUUUCUCAGCCAGAAGGGAAUAAAGACAGAUGGCCUGGGAGGCACGAUUCCAAUCUCAGAUGCUUGAGUGGGGUUGAAAAAACAGCAUCCAUUGAGAGUCCCUGGAAGCCAGUGGCUUUUGGGUAUCCUUUCUGUGGGAAGAAUCGUCCUCUAUAGAUUACCUGACAGAUCGAGACUCUGUCUGUGGUAUGUCUUGCCAUUCUUUCUCCUCUGAAGCCGAUCUGUCUUCUCGACAUUUGUCUACCACAACCAAGGAUGCCAAUGGAUUAGGAGGCAGGGCUUGCAUUUCCAUCUAUUUAGGCUAUUUAAUUGUGGCCUUUGCCUUAGAUUUCUGGAUAUUCAAUUCAGCUCAGUUCCAGUGGAGUUUAGCCAAAGAUAUAUAAUACCUAGAAGUCUCGGAGCCCAAUCAUCCUCUAGAUAAGGCAUAGGCAACCUUCGACACUCCAGAUGUUUUGUAUUACACCUUCCAUGGUGCUCUGCCAGCCUUAUGGGUGUAAAAGCAUUAUGGGGGAUGUAGUCCACAACAUCUGGAGUGCCGAAGAGGUUGUGUGGUAUAGUUGCUCUAGGUUGUGUGGUAUAGUUUCCCCUUAACCAACAGACUCCACUGGCAUGUGGGUCAGCACCUUCAAGACCAUCAUCUCCGACAGCAACAUUGAUUAUCACCUGAAAAUACUGAGUAAAUUGUGACGAGUCACCCAUGAUUAGAGCGUAAGCGUGUUCCCGACUGGGAAACAAAGUAGUCAGUGGGAAAUGCGUAAAAGCACAGGGUGUCAGGUUCCCAAUACAGCUGGUGCUCACCUGGAGAAGGCAGGCAUCCAUCCAAAAAGUCCUUUUCAAUCCUCUUGCGGAAGCCAUGACCCAUCCAGGAUAUAAGGCCCACUACCGUAGUGUAAAAUUCGGGAGUGUACGCUACUUUCGGAGCAGCGGGCGAGGGCAUUUGGCCCACAGGUGCAUGCACACCUUCUUCUCCAAUUGCUUUCUCAGCCAGAAGGGAAUAAAGUGAGAUGGCCUGGGAGGCACGAUUCCAAUCUCAGAUGCUUGAGUGGGGUUGAAAAAACAGCAUCCAUUGAGAGUCCCUGGAAGCCAGUGGCUUUUGGGUAUCCUUUCUGUGGGAAGAAUCAUCCUCUAUAGAUUACCUGACAGAUCAAGACUCUGUCUGUGGUAUGUCUUGCCAUUCUUUCUCCUCUGAAGCCGAUCCGUCUGCUCGACAUUUGUCUACCACAACCAAGGAUGCCAAUGGAUAAGGAGGCAGGGCUUGCAUCUCCAUCUAUUUAGGCUAUUUAAUUGUGGCCUUUGCCUUAGAUUUCUGGAAAUUCAAUUCAGCUCCGUUCCAGUGGAGUUAGCCAAAGGUAUAUUAUCCCUAGAAGUCUCGGAGCCCAAUCAUCCUCUAGAUAAGGCAUAGGCAACCUUUGACACUCCAGAUGUUUUGGAUUACACCUUCCAUGGUGCUCUGCCAGCCUUAUGGGUGUAAAAGCAUUAUGGGGGAUGUAGUCCACAACAUCUGGAGUGCCGAAGAGGUUGUGUGGUAUAGUUGCUCUAGGUUGUGUGGUAUAGUUUUCCCUUAACCAACAGACUCCACUGGCAUGUGGGUCAGCACCUUCAAGACCAUCUCCUCCGACAGCAACAUUGAUUAUCACCUGAAAAUACUGAGUAAAUUGUGACAAGUCACCCAUGAUUAGAGCGCAAGCAAAGUAGUCAGUGGGAAAUGCGUAAAAGCACAGGGUGUCAGGUUCCCAAUACAGCUGGUGCUCACCUGGAGAAGGCAGGCAUCCAUUCUCUGGUGGAGAAAUUUAGUAGUAGUGCCAGUGAAGAGAGGAAGUCAUCCUCUAAAACAACCAACAUAAGCGAUAGACACGUACCAAAGUGGGCUUCCCUUUAAUUAAUAGGAGACAAUAUCAGUCUCAUAUAAAAGUGGGUCAACCCUAUAAGUUCCCUGCCAGGCUGAAAAAGUACCACUGAGGGGGUCACCCUCACACUUGUUGCCAACAGUGCAGCUAGGUAAUGAAAUCGAUAUUUGAGUUCACCCCAGUUGCACAGUGAAGCUCCAUUGUAUUAUCCAGUAUAUAGAUUGGAAAACACAGUAAUAGGAAUGGUACCUGGAAGGGGGUCACCCCUGUCAAUAAACUGCCUCACUGGGGCAACCAAUAUCAUAUGGGGUAGUGACCCCAGUUGACGUGUCAUGGGGACACAGCAUAAUCUGGCAUAAAUUACUCCCAGGAACACUGUGGUACAUAUAUACACUUGUGUGCAUUGUAAGACAUAUCAAUUAAAUGACAUCCAUAAAUCUCAAUGCAAUCCACAUAAACCAUUUCCCAUAUUCAUUACAUUUUGAGACUAGAACGUCCAUAAAAAUACCUUUUAAAAUCAAUUAAAUAUGUGUGCCAAAAACAAGGAAGCACAAAAUAAAUGAGAAAGUAAAUAGUAUGAUAAAGUCAUAAAGGAUCAAAAUACAAUGGCCUGUGCACAGCAGGAGCAGCAAAGAAGGGGAAAGUGCUUGAGAGGUGAGGGCCUUAAAUAUCAACUGUUUUUUGGAUGUUUUUCCUGUUAAUGAUCUGUGCUGCUGGACUUCAGUAAAGAUUGUUUAAUGCAAAAUAUAAAACCUAAUUUCAUGUAAAAUUUCCUGUUAUUAUUGCAUAUUAAAUUGAAUAAUUAAACAAUUUGUCUCUUUGAAUUUCAGCUUCAACUACAAAUGCUAAUGCCACCACAGGUAACAGUACAACUGUUUUUUUGAUGUAAAUGUUUGAUAAAGAUUUGCAAUACAUCUUUGAUACCUAUUGUACAAAUUAAAAUCCAUCAAACACAUAUAUAUAUUAAAAAUAAACUUUAUCUAUUAAAUCAUAUAUUUGUGAUUUUGUAUUGUAAAAAAACUAACAAUAAUAAUAGUGAAGGGGUACAAUGGAUCUAGAAUAGCCAUCAAAACUUGUCAUCUAAAGUCUUCCUUUUUCAAAUCUUUUUUUUUUGCCUUAAAAAGGGAAAAUUAAAAAUCAAUAAUAACUGACUAGACUUAAAAACUAAAAACAUAUAAAUAAAAUACUGCAAAAAAAAGAAUUAUAAUAAUAAUUCUGUGGAGGUCUCUGUGCGUAGUAAUUUUUUUUACCUUUAAUAUGGCAUCCUUAUGUUUAAAUUAGCAGUCAGUUAUCGGAUUAGUUGGGUAUGGAGCAAAACUUUUUUUUGAGAGGCAAUCUCAAGUGUAACCUGUCAUGAGAACUGCUUUGUAAUGCAUUACUGGUCUACUGUCAGGAGAAAAUGCGUAAGCCAUGGAAUCAUUUAGCUGACAGCCUUCUGAUUUUUAUAAUCUUUUAUGUCUGUAAUAUUAGAACUAUCUACAAUUGCCUGUUACUGUUACAUAGUGUAUGAAUGGAAAUCCAUUAUGCUUCCUUUGGUAUUCCAUAUAAAAUGUAUGCGUCAAAUCAUAUAUUUGUGAUUUUGUAUUGCAUAAAAAUAAUUGUUAUCCUUUUAUCAAAAGUCACUGUUGACUUUACUUUUAAAUAGCUAACAGGGCCGGACUGGGAAAAAAUUUGGGCCUGGGCAUUUUUUAACUAAACUAAAAAGGGGGCGGGGCCAGAUAGGGUGUGUUUGGUCAUCACCAAUGACAAGUAUGCCCCAUCACAAAGUGAGCAUGUUGGUUCAAUGCUCUUCCAGGUUAGACCAUGUGCAGAGCUCUGCUGAGGAGCUCUAGCAUGAGAAAAAGACCCUGUAUUUGUUCUGCACAGUGCAAGCAAAUUUAAUAACAUGCUUGAACUGUGUUUGCUUGAAAUUUGUCUCUGGUGUCUCCAUAGAUGGGAUACCAGGAGACAAAAAUGACAGGAAAGAGUAUUGUGCUCUGUGUGUGCGUGGGUGAUAUGUGUAAGGGUGCUGUGUGUGGGGUGCAGUGUGUAUACUGUGUGUGAAUGAGGGUGCUGUGAUUGUCAGGGGUGCAGUGUGUGUAUGUGUGAGUGAGAGUACUGUGAGUGUCAACAUGCAGUGUGUGAUUAUGUCCCCCCUCCCUUCUUACCUUUAGCCUGGGAGGGGGGGAGGUCGUGCAGUUGCCAUCCAUGGUGGUCCUAGUGGUGAGUGAACUCUAGCCUGUGGGGCUAGAGUUCACUCUCACGGGACCCGGAGCGUUGCCAUGGGGUGAUCUCGUAUUGUAUAUUUGUGAUCUCGUAUUGUAUAAAAAGCAACAGUAAUAACAGUGAAGGGGAACAAUAGAGGCUGUUAUUUUAGCUUAAAAAAGGCAAAUAAAAAUCAUUAAUAACUGAUAACUUAAUAACAGAAAAUCAGGGCACUGUGAGUGGUAACUCUCACCUAUCACAAGUCCUGCCUGGUAUUGCAUUGCAAGGCAACUCUGAUUAGAGGCAAAGUUUUUUUGCUUGUUAUGCUUUUUUCAUAUUUUAAGUCUUGGUUCUAUGGAUUUUUAUUUGGCCUUAUUUGGAGCCUAACAAAUGAAGAUUUGAAUGAAGAAUUCUGAUGGAAAGUUUCAAUUAUGUUUUUUACAUGUAUUUAAGAUUUGCUAGUCUUGUAGUAGACUUGCCUAAUUGUCCUUAAAUUGAAAACAUGCCUCUAGUGUAAUCAUUGUACUAAUGAGUUUGAAAAUGUGUUUGUAGUAUUAGACCUCUCUACAAUUACUUAUUACUGUUGCAUAUAUAUAUAUUGAAUCAUUUCAAUAUGUGUCUUUUUCAAUUUCAGUUUCAAGUACACAAGCCAAUACCACCACUGGUAAUGAUGCAAAUAUUGUUUUUUAUAUAGUGUUUAUGGUUGAUACAAUUAUUUACUUUUAUUUAUUCAUUUUCAAAACACUCAUUGUGUUGUGUAAGAUCCAACAUGCUCACUUAUGUAUUGAAAGUAAAAUUUCACUGUAAAAGGGACAUUCGAGAAAUCCAGACCACUUAAUCUCAUUGAAGUGGUCUGGGGGGAUUGCGCUAUCUGUCCAAUCUCGCAAUGUAAAAUAUUGUCAUGUUUACAUUGCAGGUUUAAUAUGUCUUUAGUGGCUGUCUUCCUGACAGCCAGAAUAAGCACUUCCUCUGCUAUAACUGAGCAAACUCAGCUAAAGAUCAAAUGCUGCUCAUAGGGUGGCAUUUAAUUGACACAGUGAGGAAUUUUGCCUGCUUUUAAACCCUCACAUGUUGGGUGUAAGGUGGGCACUUUAGUAGCAGGACAUUAUUGUGUAUUGAAUAAAUGUUUGUAUACUAUAGUGUUCCAUUGAUGUUAUAUUUAUCAAGCUACACAAUUCACAGGUUCACCGUAACUAGUAUAACUAAAUAUAAGAAAAUAUUACAGGAUUCCUCAACUAUAAUUUUCCUACAUCAUAAAUUUGACCAAAUUAGUAACAAUUAUAGAAAUGUCCAGCAAGCAAUGGUGUGGUGUGACUCAGUCACUGUUCUUAUAUUAAACCACACUGACUGAUGAUCACUGGAUCCUAAACUUUCACCUACAGUAAUAUCUGAUACCAAAUCUCCAUUUGUUAACACUAAAUCUAUUAUGACCUCUUUACGAGUUGGCUCCUCAACAACUUGUUUUAGAGACAAUCCCAGUAGGGAGUUUAGAAUAUGUGUUCUCCUGGCACAAGCAGCUAUUUUGGUUUCCAAUUCACAUCAGGACGACUAAAGUCACCCAUGAUGAUAACUUCCCCCUUCAUUGUCAUUUUAGCUAUUUCCUCAACUAGUAGAUUAUCUAACUCUUUUAUUUGUCCUGGGGACCUAUAAAUCACACCUACACAAGUUACUGUGUGAUUAUCAAAUUCUUACGUAAUCCAAACGGACUCUAUGUUUGCCUCACUAACUUAUUAGGCUAUAUUUUAUGCUAUCCUUCACAUACAGGGCCACCCCUCCCCCUUUCUUCCCUUCCCUGUCUUUUCUAUAUAAAGAGUACCCUGGUAUUGCUUUCUCCCAGUCAUCUUUCUCAUUAUACAAUGUCUCAGUAACAGCGACUAAAUCUACAUUAUCAGUUGCCAUUAUAGCCACAAGUUUAUAAAUUGUAUUCCCUAAACUGUGAGCAUUUGUAGACAUGACUCUGUAGAGGCGGAAGUGCCACUGGUACAGCUGUACCUGGGCCUGUAUGCUGAUGAGGCCCAUGGGUGACUUCCAUGUGUGUGUCUGUCAGUAUUUAUGACUGUGUGUCUGUGUAUAAAUAUGUUCUUCUGUGUGUCACUAUGAGUGUGUGUAUCAGUGUGUAUGUCUGUGAGUCAUUAUUUGUGUCUGUAUGUAUAUCUGCAUUUCAGCAUGUAAGUCUGUGUGCCUAGUAUGUAUGUCUGUGUGUCAGUGUGUGAGAAUGUCAGCAUUAUCUAACAUUACCUAUUACUGUUGCAUAUUAAAUAGAAUUUUUAACAUAUCUGUUGCUUUGAAUUUCAGCUUCAACUACACAAUCUGGUGCCACUACAGGUAAUAACACAUUCUUCUUUUAAAGUAUAUGUUUGAUACAGAAUUUCUAUAUUGUGAGCUAGCCAUAGAUGGACAGGAGAAGCAUAGGAACGUUAUAAAGGCUGUUCCUACUUUGAAACUUAAAUCUGCUUAGUGCCCUCAAAGAAUGAAUAUGGGACAAUUUUUGGAUGAGGGAUUUUGUAUCUUUUUUAUCUUUAAACUUUAGUCUGAACUUCAUCCCGGGGUGACAACCAUGAUGUCACUGGCCUAGUGGUCCUGGGGUGUCCGGUCAUCUAUGCCCGACAUUUCCUAUAUCUGUAGUGGCAGAAGUGCUGAAGUCUGAUGAGUUUAUUAUUUUUCUUCUUAAAAAGGUCCUGUUGUUGCUUUUUGUAAAAAUAGUAUAGAUCAUGUUCUAGUUGUUCAUCAAUUUAUAUAUUUUCCUCACAUAGAUUUUGGAGUAUUGUUUUUUAUGUUGGAUGCUAUAUUUCUUGCUGUAGAGCUGGUAGAUGAGAUGGUUUCUAAGUUUCUCACUAGUGCGUUUACACAGGUUUUCAGCAUACUGCUAUUUGUGCAUAGUAACAAGUGGAUUUUUUAUUUUUAGGCCUUUGGGGAUCAGCUGUCUUUUCUUUCAGAUUGAGCUAUUGAGCUCUACUUCUUUUGUUGUCAUCUUGUAGAUUUGCUUUAUUAGACAGCUGUAUUAGUGUUCAAGUAAAGAUUGUAGCUGUAUUAGUUGUAUUUUUUUUUAUAGUUUAGUAGAGGACGAACACAAUAAAUAAGGCUCACAGGUUCCUGUUAUAUAUUUUUUAAUGUUAUAUUAACCAAUAUUAACCUUCUUCCUUCUCUUCUACGCCAUCAUAUGGAAAAGUUGGAAUGAAUCAUUAUAACGAUAUAUAUCUGGAUAUACUAAACCAUGUUGUAAAGUGCUUCUCUUAAGAAUUGUGCUUGGGAUCUUAGGUUUUUUAGAUGCCCAAACAAAGUUAGAAAAUGGCAAGUCAAUUUUUUUUCAGAAUAGAGUUUGAGACUUGGUAUGGUAUUGCUCUAAACAAGUAGAGAAGUUUUGGGAGUACAUAUGAUUUUAAUACACCAAGACAUCCCAACCAUGAGAUUUCCAAUCUCUUCAAUUGAGUCAAUAAUAUGUUAAGUUCCUCCCACAAGGUUUCCUAAUUCAUUUCAAGAGUUUGCGGUAUAUUCCUAAAUAAUAUAUACAUUUUUUAUGUUAAUCGAAUUGACCAAAGUCACCUAUAUUCUUUUCUCUGUUCUUCAGUCAUAUAAAAUGUCAAAAUUUGGGUUUUAGAAAGAUUUAAUUUGUAAUUAGACAACAGAAAUCUUAAAAAAAACUUAAUAUAUAUAUUAAUAGUGGAGAUGGGCCUAUAAUUAAUGACCAGUUUUGUAUCUUUCCCUGGUUUUAGAAUGGGAGAAAUACUGGACUCCAUACUUGCUCGGGGGAAACCAGCAUUUCCCCUAAUUGAGUUGAACAUUCUGUUUAAGAGUGGAUUGAAUUUUUACAAACCGUGCGUUUUUUGUUUUAAACUCUUUGGAUGCAUUGGAUUUUUCUUUGACCUUUUUUGGAGCCUGUAAAAUGAAAAUAUAAAAAAAAGCAUAGCCUAUUUUUUACAGCAAUGUAAGGUAUAUUAGCCUUGUAAUGGACCUCCCCUUUAGUUAAGAUUUGUCAACCUAACCAUAAUGUAAUACGUUAACUGAUAGCCUUCUGCAUUUUAUAAUCUGUCUACUACUUUUGCAUAUUAAAUUGAAUCACUAACAUGUCACUUUGAAUUUCAGCUUCAACUACACAAUCUGGUGCCACUACAGGUAACAAAACAUCCUUCUUUUAAUGUAUAUGUUUAAUACAGAAUUGUUAUAUUGUGAGUUAGUCAGAGAUGGACAGGGAAGUGUGGGAACCUUAUAAAGGCUGUUCCUAUUUUGAAACUUUAAUCUGCUUGGAGCCCUAAAAUACAGGAUUUAAAUACAGGAUUUUUGUAUCUUUUUUAUCUUUAAGUCUUAUUCAGGGCUCACCAAGAUGCUUGUCACAAAACCAGCAGUACUGGGGUGUCUGGCCAUUUGACUGUACAUUCCGUAUAUCUGUAGUGGCAGAACUGCCGCUGGUGCAACUGCACCGUGGUACAUGCUCUUAAGGCAUAUAUCAUCAGGGGCGUGGUCAGAUUAUAUAGCGCAACUGGAUAGCUCUAAAAUUGGUACCGUGUUUCUCCGAAAAUAAGACCGGGUCUUAUAUUAAUUUUAGUCACAAAAAACACACUAGGGCUUAUUUUCAGGGUAGGGCUUAUUUAUUUACGGUACCGGUAUGUACAUUGAACCCCCCCUUUAAUUAAUCCACCCCCCUCUAAUUAAUCCACCCCCUCUAAUUAAUCCACCCCCUCUAAUUAAUCCAGCCCACCCUUUAAUUAAUUCACCCCCUCUAAUUAAUCCAGUCCACUCUUUAAUUAAUUCACCCCCCUUUAAUUAAUUCACCCCCUCUAAUUAAUCCAGCCAACCCUUUAAUUAAUUCACCCCCCUUUAAUUAAUUCACCCCCUCUAAUUAAUCCAGCCCACCCUUUAAUUAAUUCACCACCCCUUUAAUUAAUUCACCCCCUCUAAUUAAUCCAGUCUACCCUUUAAUUAAUUCACCACCCCUUUAAUUAAUUCACCCCCUCUAAUUAAUCCAGCCCACCCUUUAAUUAAUUCACCACCCCUUUAAUUAAUUCACCACCCCUUUAAUUAAUUCACCCCCUCUAAUUAAUCCAGUCCACCCUUUAAUUAAUUCACCCCCCUUUAAUUAAUUCACCCCCUCUAAUUAAUCCAGCCCACCCUUUAAUUAAUUCACCCACCCUUUAAUUAAUUCACCUACCCUUUAAUUAAUUCACCCCCCCUUUAAUUAAUACACACCCUCUAAUUAAUCCAGUCCACCCUUUAAUUAAUUCACCCCCCUUUAAUUAAUUCACCCCCUCUAAUUAAUCCAGCCCACCCUUUAAUUAAUUCACCCCCCUUAAUUAAUUCACCCCCCUUUAAUUAAUUCACCCCCCUCUAAUUAAUCCAGCCCACCCUUUAAUUCACCCCCCUUUAAUUAAUUCACCCCCCACCCCCUUUAAUUAAUUCAGUCCCAGACAUAAAAUAUCUACCGGUACUCACAUUUCAAAGUUUCCUUGCCGAGUCCGACCACUGGGAGCCUCACCGCCCGGAAAUGGAUCCUUCCGCUGAAGAUCCGUGAAGGCAGACUGACGGCGCUGCGAAAUGACGUCAUCACGUUUUGCGAUGCCGCGGCCCGCAACGCUCCUCCUACAGUAGAAGAAGGAAGUCUCGCCGCAAAGGUACAAUGCCUAGGUCUUAUUUUCGGGGUAGGGCUUAUAUUGCAGCCCACGCCGAAAAUCCGACUAGGGCUUAUUUUCGGGGUAGGGUUUAUUUUCGGGGAAACACGGUAGCAACAACUUUUGCUGGGAGUAAGUGACAGACGGUCAUUUCCUCCUGGCUUACUCCACUUGGGAGGAAGGCAGAGCAAAGGCAGUAGGAAUGGGAGAGCUAACUGCUAGACCAACACCCAUCAGCCCCAGCCACCCUCCUGCACCCAAAAUAAAGUAACAGGAAGGUGGCUAAAAAAUUAAUUGCAUGUGUGUGUGUCUGUCAGUAUGUAUGUUUUUGUGUCAGUAUGUAUGUUUGUGUAUUAGUAUGUGUAUCGAUGUGUCAGUAUGUAUGUCUGUGUGUCAGUGUGUGUGUCUGUGUGAGUGUCAGUAUGUAUGUCUGUGUGUCUGUCAGUAUGUAUGUCUGUGUGUAUCUGUGUGUCAUUGUGUGUGUAACUGUGUGAGUCAGUGUGUCAGUGUGUGUAUCUAUGUAUUUGCAUGAUUGUCAGUGUGUGUGUGACUGUGUAUCUGUAUGUAUGUGUAUCAGUGUGUGUGGAAGUGUAUGCACAACACACAAAUGCAUGCCUGCAUUCAAACAACAACAUUCACACACAUACACCAUACAUAAACAUGCUUUCAUUCAAACACACAUUGCAUUAACUACACAAAUACACUGCCUCAACUACACAUGCACAAACACACUGUGUCCACUUUACACACACUGCAUCCAAUACACAAACACACACUGCAUCCACAACACACACAGAGCCUGUAUCCAAUCUACACACACUGCAUCCUUGUGGUCAUUUGAAAAUUGCCCACUACCAUGUGUCUCAUCCCCCCAGUGUCUCAUUCAAUUUCCCUGGUGCCUCAUUCUGCCCACUGGGUCUCAUUCCCGCACCCAGGCCCCCUCCUUGACUCAUUCCCUCAACACCACAGCCCCUCCAUGUGUCCCAUUCCCUCUCCCCCUCACCCUCCAAUUUCCCAUACCCUCAACCCCUCCAGCCCCUCAAUGUAUCCCAUUCCCUCUCCCUGCAGCACCUCCAUGUUUUACAUACCCUCCUCCCUCCCAGCACUUCCAUGUGUCCCAUAUCUCCCUCUCCACCCUGUGUCUCUCUCUCUCCCCUCCACAUAUCCCAUUCUUCCCUUUCUACCCCUCCCUUCCAUGUGUCUCAUACCCUACCUCUCAUGUGUCCCAUACCCUCUCUCCCUCCUCCCUUCCAUGUGUCUCAUACCCUCCCUCAUUCCCUCCCCUCCAUGUGACCCAUUCACUCCCUCUCUCCCCUCCCUGUGCCCCAUUCCUUCCUCUCUUCCCCUCUACUCCAUGUGUCCCAUUCUUCUCUCUCUUACCCUCCCUCUCUUAUACCCUAUUUCCCCCUCCUCACUGUGUCCCAUUUCUCCCUCCCUCCCCCUUACAUGUGUUCAAUACUCUCUCUCCCUCCUCCCCUCUCUUACAUGUGACCCUUACCCUCUCUCUCCCCUCCCUGUGUCCCAUUUCUCUGUCUAUCCCCCUGCCCUUCCUGUGUCCCAUACCAUCCCUCUCUCUCCCUCACAUCCAUGUGUCCCAUUGUUCCCUCUCUCCCUCCUCCCCUCCCUCUGUCCCAUUCUCCCUCUCUCCCCCCUUCCCUCCAGGAGUUCCAUUUAUCUCUCUCUCUCUUCCCUCCCUGUGUCCCAUACCCUCCAUCUCUCCCCUUCCCCAUUUCCCAUUCCUACCUCUCUCCCCCCUUUCCUUCCUGUGUGCCAUACCCUAAGUCUCUCCUCCUCCCCUCCCUGUGUCCCAUUUCUCCCUCACCACCCUCCCCAUCCUUAGUCCCAUACCCUCCAUCUCUCCCCCUCCCCUUCCUGUGUCUCAUACUCUCCCACUCUCCCACCUUCCCCCCCCAUGUUCUAUUUCUCCCUCUCUUCCUCCUCUCCUCCCUUUUAAUGUAUAUAUCUGAUACAGAAUUUUUAUUUUGUGAGUUAGCCAGAGAUGGACUAUUUUUUACAGGUAUGUAAAAGCUUUAGGCUUUGUAAUAAACUUCCCAUUUUGUCAAAAAUAUGCAAGCCUGCACCUGAUGGAAUCAUAGAGCUAAUAGACUUCUAAUUUUUAUAAUCUGUCUGUAGGGUUAGCAGUAUCUAUAAUUACCUGUUACUGUUGCAUAUUGAAUUAAAUCAUUAACAUAUUUGUCUCUUUGAAUUUCAGCUUCAACUACACAAACUAGUUCCACUACAGGUAAAUAAUCUUUCUUUGGAUGUUUAAGCCUAUUAUUGAUUUACAGAAUGCCAUUGACAUAUAUUCUAUCAAUAAAGAUUCCCCAUCCUCACUUUGAUAGUGAAAGUAAAAUGUAUGAUUUAAAUCAUGUAUGUGUGAUUUUGUAUUGCAUACAAAGUUUUGUUUUUCUGUUAUCAAAUGUCACUGUUAGCUUUACAUUUAUAUAGCUAAAUCAUCCACAGAGUAAGAGUGAAAAUGAUAACAGUGAUGGUCGUUUAAUAAAUCUAAAAUACGGAAACCGAGAAAUAUGUCAUGCUUACCAACUUGCUCACAUAUGCCUGGAAAGUAAAAUGUAUGCAUUAAAUCAUAUAUUUGUGAUUUUGCAUCAUAUAAAAUAUUUGCGUUGUUUUUUUGUUUAAACUUAAUGUCACCUUUAACCAAUACAUUUCCAUAGCUACACCUUUUACAAGUGUAAAUAAUGCUAAUAAAAGUCAGAGGUGCAAAAAAUCUGAAAUACCUGUAAGAAAAAUAUUUAAUACGUAUUUUAUAUUGAAUUAUUACCAUAUUUGAUGCUCUGAAAUUCAGCAUCAACUGCACAAUCUGGUGUCACUACAUGUGACAAAACAUCCUUCUUUUAAAGUAAAUGUUUCAUCCAGAAUUGUUAUAUGGUGAGUUAGCCUGAGAUGGACAGGAGAAGCGUGGAGACUUUAUAAAUGCUGUUCCUACUUUGAAACUUCAGUCUUAUUGGAUCCCUCAAAGAGUGAAAAUUGGAUUGUUCUUUCUUAUAUUUUUGUAAUUUUUAAGUCAUAUUAUGCAGUAGGGAUUAUUUUUUGACAUUUCAAGCCCUAAAAAAAAUCAAUAUUUAAAAAAAAACAUUUUGAAGAAAGGCAUGAACUAGCUUUUACAGAUAUGUAAAUUAUUUAGCCUUUGUAAUGGACUUCCCCCUUUUUAAAAAAAAAAAAAAGUCUACCCCUAAUGAAAUCAUUUAAUUUAUAAUCUUCUAAUUUUUUAAAUCUGCCUGUAGUAUUAGAAUUACCUACAAUUACUGGUUACUGUUGUGUAUUAAAUUGAAUCAUUAAUAUAUUUGUCUCUUUGAAUUUCAGCUUCAACUAUAAAUGCUAAUGUCACCACAGGUAACAGUACAACCGUUCUUUUAAAGUACAUGUUUGCUAAAAAUUUGCAGAAUAUCAUUGACACAUAUUGUAUGAAUUGAGAUCCAUCAAACUCACAUAUAUAAAUUGAAAGUGAACUUAAUGUGUUAAAUUAAGUAUUUGUAAAACACAUACUAAAAAAAAUCUGAAUUACCACAAAGAAAAAUGUUUCAUGCUUACCAUCUUAUGCAUUAAAAGGACACGGUGACCUCCGUGUAACAGAAUAACAUGUUGACCACGCACAGUUGAGGCAAUUCUCAGAAAAAAAACCAAACUAAGGUAGACUUUGUCUUUGUAUGACACAAGACUAAAAAGGACACGCCUUCUGGCAAGAAAGAGAAAGAAGAGAAAACAAUGGCAGGAUAAGAGGGUGGUCAUGAGACAGUUCCAGCAGAUCUGGAAACCCUGAAGGCUGGCGUCCAACUCUACGAUGAAAUCCAGUCUGAAUGUGGAGCAGUCACCAAUGGAGCUACAUUUGAAACUCCAGCAAAAAAGGCACCAAGUAAUCGCAUGACUGACUUGAACAUAAACACUGAGAUUUUAAGCAUUGCGUUGUUUAUGUUCUUUAGAGCUGAGUCCGAAAGUCAGACACAUGAACUGGCAAUGUCAGUCCCACCAAAUGAAAUGGAGAAAGCUAUGGCUAAGAAUCAAGAGGUGCUCAUCCUUUAGAUCGAGACAAGUGAACAAGUUGUUCUUCAGAGAUGCUUCCACAGAAAAUGGAUUCCUUCCAUCUUGAAGUGUCAUUACAUCACAAAGUUGUUAAGUUGACAUAAAUUGAGGAAAGGUCGUAAGUCUGAAGUCAUUGAAAAAUGUUGCCUGUAAACCUGUCCCAUCUGGUGUGAAUUGCACACUGCACCUCUAGAGAACAGAGCACAAAUGUUUUCAUUGAUGAGGGACCUGUGUACCUCAGACAUGCAUAAGGGAUGCGGAGGACAAGUUUAUGUGGAAACAGAGUGGAACUCAAUGAUGUCUGAAUGACCCAGGUGUCACAAAGAUUGCUCUUCAAUUCUGUAAUAUGCCUGCAGUUAAAUCAGUAGAAGAUAGAAUCAAAGAAGAAUGCAUAGCUUCUGCCUCUAUUGCGUCUUGUCCUCUCUGUUCCUUUAUGGAAAGUGGCAAUGUUGAAUGGAAAGAAGGAUGAGGAUGGAGUGUUUGUUCCGGUAUACUAGAAAUAGCUGAUGGCUUGGCCCCUCUGCCAAACAGCUCUGCAAAAAACACUACUGUCAGGAGAUGGUCAAAAAACUACUUUCAUAGAGGUUUGCACUUUAUUCAGAGUGGUGAAAAGGUUCACAUGCCUCUUUAAUUCGGUGAUAAAGGAUUCUCCAGAUAGGAGCCCAUUAGCAAAGGGUCUUAGCUCCUUCUUACCCAAGUAGCUUUGUGUCUAUCUUCAGAAGAGCGGACUUGCGAUGUUCUGUAAAAAGAGCAGUGUUUGUAUUGCCAAGCAUGCAGAUUGAAUGCUGAGCCCACUCUCGGAUGUCAUUUGGGUUGAAUUGCGUGUCUGGUGAGAGAUCCAGAUCAGCAAAGUAUAGCAAUUUUAUCCAGAGGACCGAGGAUAUCCAGAAGUUUGUCUUGGGCAGCUUUUAAGUCCUUUUCAAUACUCUUGCGGACGCCAUGACCCAUCCAGGAUAUAAGGCCCACUACCGUAGUGUAAAAUAGUGUACGCUACUUUGGGAGCAGCGGGCGAGGGCAUUUGGCCCAAAGGUGCAUGCACACCUUCUUCUCUAAUUGCUUUCUCAGCCAGAAGGGAAUAAAGACAGAUGGCCUGGGAGGCACGAUUCCAAUCUCAGAUGCUUGAGUGGGGUUGAAAAAACAGCAUCCAUUGAGAGUCCCUGGAAGCCAGUGGCUUUUGGGUAUCCUUUCUGUGGGAAGAAUCGUCCUCUAUAGAUUACCUGACAGAUCGAGACUCUGUCUGUGGUAUGUCUUGCCAUUCUUUCUCCUCUGAAGCCGAUCUGUCUUCUCGACAUUUGUCUACCACAACCAAGGAUGCCAAUGGAUUAGGAGGCAGGGCUUGCAUUUCCAUCUAUUUAGGCUAUUUAAUUGUGGCCUUUGCCUUAGAUUUCUGGAUAUUCAAUUCAGCUCAGUUCCAGUGGAGUUUAGCCAAAGAUAUAUAAUACCUAGUAGUCUCGGAGCCCAAUCAUCCUCUAGAUAAGGCAUAGGCAACCUUCGACACUCCAGAUGUUUUGUAUUACACCUUCCAUGGUGCUCUGCCAGCCUUAUGGGUGUAAAAGCAUUAUGGGGGAUGUAGUCCACAACAUCUGGAGUGCCGAAGAGGUUGUGUGGUAUAGUUGCUCUAGGUUGUGUGGUAUAGUUUCCCCUUAACCAACAGACUCCACUGGCAUGUGGGUCAGCACCUUCAAGACCAUCAUCUCCGACAGCAACAUUGAUUAUCACCUAAAAAUACUGAGUAAAUUGUGACGAGUCACCCAUGAUUAGAGCGUAAGCGUGUUCCCGACUGGGAAACAAAGUAGUCAGUGGGAAAUGCGUAAAAGCACAGGGUGUCAGGUUCCCAAUACAGCUGGUGCUCACCUGGAGAAGGCAGGCAUCCAUCCAAAAAGUCCUUUUCAAUCCUCUUGCGGAAGCCAUGACCCAUCCAGGAUAUAAGGCCCACUACCGUAGUGUAAAAUUCGGGAGUGUACGCUACUUUCGGAGCAGCGGGCGAGGGCAUUUGGCCCACAGGUGCAUGCACACCUUCUUCUCCAAUUGCUUUCUCAGCCAGAAGGGAAUAAAGUGAGAUGGCCUGGGAGGCACGAUUCCAAUCUCAGAUGCUUGAGUGGGGUUGAAAAAACAGCAUCCAUUGAGAGUCCCUGGAAGCCAGUGGCUUUUGGGUAUCCUUUCUGUGGGAAGAAUCAUCCUCUAUAGAUUACCUGACAGAUCGAGUCUCUGUCUGUGGUAUGUCUUGCCAUUCUUUCUCCUCUGAAGCCGAUCCGUCUGCUCGACAUUUGUCUACCACAACCAAGGAUGCCAAUGGAUAAGGAGGCAGGGCUUGCAUCUCCAUCUAUUUAGGCUAUUUAAUUGUGGCCUUUGCCUUAGAUUUCUGGAAAUUCAAUUCAGCUCCGUUCCAGUGGAGUUAGCCAAAGGUAUAUUAUCCCUAGAAGUCUCGGAGCCCAAUCAUCCUCUAGAUAAGGCAUAGGCAACCUUUGACACUCCAGAUGUUUUGGAUUACACCUUCCAUGGUGCUCUGCCAGCCUUAUGGGUGUAAAAGCAUUAUGGGGGAUGUAGUCCACAACAUCUGGAGUGCCGAAGAGGUUGUGUGGUAUAGUUGCUCUAGGUUGUGUGGUAUAGUUUUCCCUUAACCAACAGACUCCACUGGCAUGUGGGUCAGCACCUUCAAGACCAUCUCCUCCGACAGCAACAUUGAUUAUCACCUGAAAAUACUGAGUAAAUUGUGACAAGUCACCCAUGAUUAGAGCGCAAGCAAAGUAGUCAGUGGGAAAUGCGUAAAAGCACAGGGUGUCAGGUUCCCAAUACAGCUGGUGCUCACCUGGAGAAGGCAGGCAUCCAUUCUCUGGUGGAGAAAUUUAGUAGUAGUGCCAGUGAAGAGAGGAAGUCAUCCUCUAAAACAACCAACAUAAGCGAUAGACACGUACCAAAGUGGGCUUCCCUUUAAUUAAUAGGAGACAAUAUCAGUCUCAUAUAAAAGUGGGUCAACCCUAUAAGUUCCCUGCCAGGCUGAAAAAGUACCACUGAGGGGGUCACCCUCACACUUGUUGCCAACAGUGCAGCUAGGUAAUGAAAUCGAUAUUUGAGUUCACCCCAGUUGCACAGUGAAGCUCCAUUGUAUUAUCCAGUAUAUAGAUUGGAAAACACAGUAAUAGGAAUGGUACCUGGAAGGGGGUCACCCCUGUCAAUAAACUGCCUCACUGGGGCAACCAAUAUCAUAUGGGGUAGUGACCCCAGUUGACGUGUCAUGGGGACACAGCAUAAUCUGGCAUAAAUUACUCCCAGGAACACUGUGGUACAUAUAUACACUUGUGUGCAUUGUAAGACAUAUCAAUUAAAUGACAUCCAUAAAUCUCAAUGCAAUCCACAUAAACCAUUUCCCAUAUUCAUUACAUUUUGAGACUAGAACGUCCAUAAAAAUACCUUUUAAAAUCAAUUAAAUAUGUGUGCCAAAAACAAGGAAGCACAAAAUAAAUGAGAAAGUAAAUAGUAUGAUAAAGUCAUAAAGGAUCAAAAUACAAUGGCCUGUGCACAGCAGGAGCAGCAAAGAAGGGGAAAGUGCUUGAGAGGUGAGGGCCUUAAAUAUCAACUGUUUUUUGGAUGUUUUUCCUGUUAAUGAUCUGUGCUGCUGGACUUCAGUAAAGAUUGUUUAAUGCAAAAUAUAAAACCUAAUUUCAUGUAAAAUUUCCUGUUAUUAUUGCAUAUUAAAUUGAAUAAUUAAACAAUUUGUCUCUUUGAAUUUCAGCUUCAACUACAAAUGCUAAUGCCACCACAGGUAACAGUACAACUGUUUUUUUGAUGUAAAUGUUUGAUAAAGAUUUUCAAUACAUCUUUGAUACCUAUUGUACAAAUUAAAAUCCAUCAAACACAUAUAUAUAUUAAAAAUAAACUUUAUCUAUUAAAUCAUAUAUUUGUGAUUUUGUAUUGUAAAAAAAACUAACAAUAAUAAUAGUGAAGGGGUACAAUGGAUCUAGAAUAGCCAUCAAAACUUGUCAUCUAAAGUCAUCCUUUUUCAAAUCUUUUUUUUUAGCCUUAAAAAGGGAAAAUUAAAAAUCAAUAAUAACUGACUAGACUUAAAAACUAAAAACAUAUAAAUAAAAUACUGCAAAAAAAAGAAUUAUAAUAAUAAUUCUGUGGAGGUCUCUGUGCGUAGUAAUUUUUUUUACCUUUAAUAUGGCAUCCUUAUGUUUAAAUUAGCAGUCAGUUAUCGGAUUAGUUGGGUAUGUAGCAAAACUUUUUUUUGAGAGGCAAUCUCAAGUGUAACCUGUCAUGAGAACUGCUUUGUAAUGCAUUACUGGGCUACUGUCAGGAGAAAAUGCGUAAGCCAUGGAAUCAUUUAGCUGACAGCCUUCUGAUUUUUAUAAUCUUUUAUGUCUGUAAUAUUAGAACUAUCUACAAUUGCCUGUUACUGUUGCAUAUUAAAUUGAAUUACUAACAUAUUUGUCUCUUUGAAUUUCAGCUCCAACUACAAAUGCUAAUGUCACCACAGGUAACAGUACAACCGUUGUUUUGAUGUAUAUAUGUUUAAUAACAAUUUGCAGAACGUCAUUGACACAUAGUGUAUGAAUGGAAAUCCAUUAUGCUUCCUUUGGUAUUCCAUAUAAAAUGUAUGCGUCAAAUCAUAUAUUUGUGAUUUUGUAUUGCAUAAAAAUAAUUGUUAUCCUUUUAUCAAAAGUCACUGUUGACUUUACUUUUAAAUAGCUAACAGGGCCGGACUGGGAAAAAAUUUUGGCCUGGGCAUUUUUUAACUAAACUAAAAAGGGGGCGGGGCCAGAUAGGGUGUGUUUUGUCAUCACCAAUGACAAGUAUGCCCCAUCACAAAGUGAGCAUGUUGGUUCAAUGCUCUUCCAGGUUAGACCAUGUGCAGAGCUCUGCUGAGGAGCUCUAGCAUGAGAAAAAGACCCUGUAUUUGUUCUGCACAGUGCAAGCAAAUUUAAUAACAUGCUUGAACUGUGUUUGCUUGAAAUUUGUCUCUGGUGUCUCCAUAGAUGGGAUACCAGGAGACAAAAAUGACAGGAAAGAGUAUUGUGCUCUGUGUGUGCGUGGGUGAUAUGUGUAAGGGUGCUGUGUGUGGGGUGCAGUGUGUAUACUGUGUGUGAAUGAGGGUGCUGUGAUUGUCAGGGGUGCAGUGUGUGUAUGUGUGAGUGAGAGUACUGUGAGUGUCAACAUGCAGUGUGUGAUUAUGUCCCCCCUCCCUUCUUACCUUUAGCCUGGGAGGAGGGGAGGUCGUGCAGUUGCCAUCCAUGGUGGUCCUAGUGGUGAGUGAACUCUAGCCUGUGGGGCUAGAGUUCACUCUCACGGGACCCGGAGCGUUGCCAUGGGGUGAUCUCGUAUUGUAUAUUUGUGAUCUCGUAUUGUAUAAAAAGCAACAGUAAUAACAGUGAAGGGGAACAAUAGAGGCUGUUAUUUUAGCUUAAAAAAGGCAAAUAAAAAUCAUUAAUAACUGAUAACUUAAUAACAGAAAAUCAGGGCACUGUGAGUGGUAACUCUCACCUAUCACAAAUCCUGCCUGGUAUUGCAUUGCAAGGCAACUCUAAUUAGAGGCAAAGUUUUUUUGCUUGUUAUGCUUUUUUCAUAUUUUAAGUCUUGGUUCUAUGGAUUUUUAUUUGGCCUUAUUUGGAGCCUAACAAAUGAAGAUUUGAAUGAAGAAUUCUGAUGGAAAGUUUCAAUUAUGUUUUUUACAUGUAUUUAAGAUUUGCUAGUCUUGUAGUAGACUUGCCUAAUUGUCCUUAAAUUGAAAACAUGCCUCUAGUGUAAUCAUUGUACUAAUGAGUUUGAAAAUGUGUUUGUAGUAUUAGACCUCUCUACAAUUACUUAUUACUGUUGCAUAUAUAUAUUGAAUCAUUUCAAUAUGUGUCUUUUUCAAUUUCAGUUUCAAGUACACAAGCCAAUACCACCACUGGUAAUGAUGCAAACACUGUUUUUUAUAUAGUGUUUAUGGUUGAUACAAUUAUUUACUUGUAUUUAUUAAUUUUCAAAACACUCAUUGCGUUGUGUAAGAUCCAACAUGCUCACUUAUGUAUUGAAAGUAAAAUUUCACUGUAAAAGGGACAUUCGAGAAAUCCAGACCACUUAAUCUCAUUGAAGUGGUCUGGGGGGAGUGCGCCAUCUGUCCAAUCUCGCAAUGUAAAAUAUUGUCAUGUUUACAUUGCAGGUUUAAUAUGUCUUUAGUGGCUGUCUUCCUGACAGCCAGAAUAAGCACUUCCUCUGCUAUAACUGAGCAAACUCAGCUAAAGAUAAAAUGCUGCUCAUAGGGUGGCAUUUAAUUGGCACAGUGAGGAAUUUUGCCUGCUUUUAAACCCUCACAUGUUGGGUGUAAGGUGGGCACUUUAGUAGCAGGACAUUAUUGUGUAUUGAAUAAAUGUUUGUAUACUAUAGUGUUCCAUUGAUGUUAUAUUUAUCAAGCUACACAAUUCACAGGUUCACCGUAACUAGUACAACUAAAUAUAAGAAAAUAUUACAGGAUUCCUCAACUAUAAUUUUCCUACAUCAUAAAUUUGACCAAAUUAGUAACAAUUAUAGAAAUGUCCAGCAAGCAAUGGAUCUAAAGUAUGAUUUAUCAUGUAGAAAUAAGCAAAAACUACUUUAGAAAGGAGGAAAAGUAUUGAUCCUGGGAAUAAAUAUCAAUUCAUACAAGUUGGGGAGAAUUUGUAAAGAGGAACUGACACAUAUCUGGGAGCAGUGUUGUUUCCAGCACUUGACAUCUUUAAUACUUUUUGUCCCAUGUGAGGUUUUCUGUUAUUAUUAUUAUUAUUAUCAUUUAUAUAGCGCCAACAGAUUCCGUAGCGCUUUACAAUAUUUUGAGAGGGGGGAUGUAACAAUAAAUAGGACAAUUACAAGAAAACUUACAGGAACAAUAGGUUGAAGAGGAUCCUGCUCAAAUGAGCUUACAGACUAUAGGAGGUGGGGUAUUAGAAACAUUAGGACAAGAAAUAUCAAGUAGGGGUGAAGCAGAGCUGGAGGAGAGAGCAAAGCACUGUCCCAUAGGAGAGAGCAGGAGACAGGUAUGUAAGGUAGAGAUUACUCUGGGAGGCCAUAAGCUUUCCUGAAGAGAUGGGUUUUAAGGCCCUUCUUAAAUGAUUGAAGACUAGGGGAGAGUCUGAUGGCAGUAGGCAAGCAAUUCCAUAGAAGAGGUGCCACCCGCGAGAGGUCCUGCAAGCGCGAGUUGGCCGUACGGGUGCGAGCUGCGGUCAGGAGGUGGUCACGGGCAGAGCGGAGGGUACGAGGAGGGGCAUAUCUAUGGAUUAGUGAAGAGAUAUAAGCGGGGCUAGAAUUGUUCAGUGCUUUAAAUGUGUGGGUUAGCACUUUGAAUUGACUCCUAUAGCAUACAGGGAGCCAAUGUAAGGACUGGCAGAGGGGUGAGGUGUGAGAGGACCGACUAGAGAGGAAGAUCAGUCUAGCUGCAGCAUUCAUGACAGACUGUAGCGGGGCAAUACGGCUUUUGGGGAGACCAAUCAGGAGAGGGUUACAGUAAUCCAUGCGGGAAAUUACUAGAGCAUGGACAAGCUCCUUGGUAGCAUCUUGCGUAAGAAAGGGGCGAAUGCGGGCUAUGUUUUUGAGUUGGAACCUACAGGACUUGGCAACAAACUGGAUAUGAGGCUCAAAGGUGAGACCAGAGUCAAGUAUGACACCAAGACAGCGCGCUUGCAGGGAUGGACUUAUGUGGAUAUCACUGAGUUGAAGGGAGAGCGAGAGAGGAGGAUCAGUAUUAGGAGGAGGAAAGACAAGGAGUUCAGUUUUAGAGAGGUUAAGUUUCAGAAAGCGUGAGGACAUCCAGUCAGAGAUGGAAGAAAGGCAAGCAGUGACACGUUGCAGGACGGCAGGGGAGAGGUCCGGGAGGAGAGGUAUAUCUGAGUGUCAUCAGCAUACAGGUGGUAGCGGAAUCCAAAAGAGGCAAUAAGUUUACCUAGAGAGGCAGUAUAAAGAGAAAAUAGGAGGGGACCAAGGACAGACCCUUGGGGAACUCCGACCGAGACAGGACGAGGGGAGGAGGUAUCCUUGGAAAAGGAGACACUGAACGAACGUUGGGAGAGAUAGGAGGAAAACCAAGAGAGGACAGAGUCACAGAGACCGAGCGAAUGAAGAGUUUGAAGGAGGAGAGCAUGAUCAACGGUGUCAAAGGCAGCAGAGAGGUCAAGGAGAAUUAAUAUGGAGUAGUGACCUUUGGAUUUAGCGGAGAUUAGGUCAUUAGUCACUUUGAUAAGAGCAGUCUCAGUAGAGUGGAGAGGGCGGAAGCCAGACUGAAGAGGGUCAAGUAGAGAGUUUGAAUUAAGGAAGCGAGACACACGGGUAAAGACAAGUCUUUCCAAAAGCUUUGAUGAGAAAGGGAGCAGGGUUAUGGGACGAUAGUUAGAAGGGGAGGAUGGGUCAAGAGAUGUUUUUUUCAGGAUAGGUAUUACAGUGGCAUGUUUAAGGUCAGCAGGAACCGUGCCAGAAGAGAGAGAGCAGUUAAAGAUGUGUGUUAGGGUAGGCACAAGACAAGGGGAGAGAGAUCUGAUGAGGUGAGAUGGGACAGGAUCGAGCGGGCAAGUGGUGGGGCGAGAGGAAUGGAGAAGCGCAGCCACCUCUUGUUCAGUAGCCGGGUAGAAAGUCUGGAGGGUAGGGAAAGCAAGAUUUACAUGUGGUUGAGAAAGAGAACGGCAAGGAGGGGAGAUUUGUUUCCUUAGCUGUUCAGUCUUGUCGGUAAAGUAGCAUGCAAAGCUAUCAGCUGCAAGGUUAGUUUGGGGGGUGGCCACAGCAGGGCGGAGAAGGGAAUUAAAGGUGUCAAAGAGACGUCUGGGAUUGCGGGAGCAUGAACUAAUGAGAGAGGAAAAGUAUGACUGUUUGGCGAGGGCAAGGGCUGCGCUGUAUGAAAGCAACAUGAAUCUAUAAUGGAGAAAGUCUGCCUGGGUGCGGGACUUCCUCCAGGAGCGUUCAGCACAACGGGAGCAACUCUGCAGAUAGCAUGUCGAUUUAUUAUGCCAAGGUUGGGGACGUGUCCUCCUCGAGGUGCAUGUUUUGAGAGGGGCUGCAGCGUUCAAGGCAGAUGUGAGGGUAGUGUUGUAUGUGGAGACGGCCAGUGAGGGACAGGAGAGGGAAGGGAUGGAUAGCAGUUGUGAAUCAAUGUCAGCUGACAGCUGCUGGAGGUCAAUAGAGUUGAAACAUAACUAUUUUCCCUACAUAAUCCUACAUAAUUCAUGCCGUUAGCAUAAUGAUUUAAUUUUGAUGUUUUUUUUUUUGUGAUGUUACAUUAUAUUUUUAAACAUUUAUUUUUUUAGCUCUCCUGGAGAUAUUAAUUAAUAAACUCUAGCACAUGUGAGAUUGGCAUUAAACUUAGUCUUUCAAUGGACUUCCUACACAUGUCUAAAAUUUGCAGACUUGCCCACAGUUGAAUCAUCAUUUGAAAAGUCUGUUUAUACUAUUGAACCAAUCUGCCAUUACUUGCUAUUUUUGUAUAUUUAAUUAAAAUAUUCCUGUUAUUGAAUUUCAGUUUCAACUACACAAGCUCGAACCACCCAAGGUAUGUACAGAUUUGUAGAACAUAUUUAGUUGAGGAAGCAGUGUCAGUAUUGGUUAUUAGACUACUGUAGGUAGAAUACUGGGGGUUAUUUCAUAUGGUUUUGUACUAUAAAUACAUUGUUUUAUGAUAGAUACAUAGUUACAAAGUUGAGAAACUUAAUUUUAACUGAGAUGUCUUUGUCCUAGGAGACCUUAAUGAUUUGGUAGUCUUUAUUUCAAAAUGUUGGUUCUUAGUAGACCUUAUUUCAUAAUUUAAAAGUGAUAUAUGUACAUGAGAAUUGUACACUUAUGUUAUUCCAUUAAUCUAAAGGGCACUUUAUGUUACUGCAAUGGCAAAUAAUUAUUGACAAGUUAAAAUUUAUUUUUAAUUCAAGUUUUUGUGUAUAGAUCAUGCCUCUGAUGUCUCACUACUUAAUUCUCAUCCAUUUAGGAGUAAAACCAAUUUUUUUUCUGUUUAUGCAGCCCUUGUCACACCUCCCUGUCUGUGACUGACACAGUCUGCAUGAAAAUAAAAUGGUUUCAUUUUCAUUCACAUGUUAAAUUACUUUAAAAGCUUUUAUUUCCUGCUCUGUAAAUUGAACUUUAGUCUCACACAGGAGGCUCUUGCAGGUCUAGCAAGCUAUUAACGGUGCAGAAUAAACACAAUUCUUAAUUAAGCAGAAUUUGAAAUAAAGGUAGUAUAAACAUUAGAUUACUCUUUACAGGAAGUGUUAAGAAGGCUGUGUAUGUCACAUGAAAAGAGGCAUGACUAGGGCUGCAUAAACAAAGUGAUUUAACUCAUAAAUGGCAGAGAAUUGACUAGUGAGACUGCAGGGGUGUGAUCUGUACACCAAAGCUGUUUCAAUAAACUAAAGUUUUUUUGUUGACUAUAGUACCCCUUUAAUAUUAAAUACAUUUUCUAAAUGUAAAUUACACCAGCAGUCAUCAAUCAAGCGGGGAUAACACUACAGAUAAUAAUGAUAAGAUAUAAUGUGUUCUUUUUGUAUAACAUGCUUAUCAUAAGUCAUUGUCACAACAAUAGAUUUGAUUUUCUGUUAAUAUGUUGCUGUACUAUAGUAUUGAUGUUUAAACUCAUGUAUUGUUUAUUUGUCUUUUAUAGCUACUACUUCCGGAUCAUCAACUCAAACAUUCUCUAUGUUCACUGCUCUCAUACAAACAUUAACCGUGAUUGUGAUCACAAAACACAUAAUAGCAUAAAAAAUGAAAUGUAUUGCUAUGUAAAUGUUAUUUUAAAAGUUUCAGUUUAUCAAAAGCUGUUUUAAUGAAUCUAAAAAAAAAUUAUUGAUUGAAUUUUACAAAAAGUUAAACAGAACAUUUUUUUAUAUAAAUAUUUUACAGGAGUGCAAAUGUCAAGCUUUCUUCCAUGAAGUACAUGUAAAUUAUACAUAGCAUUGGAGAAAUGUACAACAAAUCUAUGCUUUAAAAGACAUUGCACAUACAGCUAUCCAUUAUAUCAACUGGUGAAUGAUACAUUCCUUAGUGGAUUUGUAGCACAUUUUUAAUAUAAAUUAUGAUAAUCAUAUUUUUUUUUGUUUGCUACAAAUAAAAUUAUUAUAUGAUACCAUCGAUAGAUAACUGUAUAUGAAACAUUAGAAAUAUAAAAAAUAUUAAUUUAUAUUUUAUUUUUGAAGGCAUCAUACAUGUUCUGGGAGAAAAACAGAGUUUCUGAAACUUUUAUAUGUGUGUAUAUACAUAUAUUAAUAAUAUUUUUAACUAUGAAUAAUAUGAAUUAAACAGCAGAACCUAUAACACAACAUGAUUAUCUAUUACAGUGUGAGUUGUCUGGAAUUCAAAGUGAACAGAAAGUUAAUUUAAAAUUUUAGGCACAAAUAGCCAACUAGGAAAAAAGUUCAAGUCAGCUGUAUUUUUAGUUCUGCGAUUAACUAUAGUUUGAAAUAUACCGUAUAUACUCGAGUAUAAGCCGACCCGAAUAUAAGCCGAGGCCCCUAAUUUUACCCCAAACAACUGGGAAAACUUAUUGACUCGAGUAUAAGACUAGGGUGGGAUAUGCAGCAGCUACUGGUAAAUUUCUAAAUAAAAUUAGAUCCUAAAAAAAUUAUAUUAAUUGAAUAUUUAUUUACAGCGUGUGUAUAUGAUGAAUGCAGUGUGUGUGUAUGAGUGCGCAGUGUGUGUAUGAGUGCAGGGUGUGUGUAUGAAUGCAGGGUGUGUGUAUGAAUGCAGUGUUUGUGUAUGAGUGCAGUGUGUGUGCAUAAAUGCAGUGUGUGUGUAUGAGUGCAGUGUGUGUAUGAGUGCAGUGUGUGUAUGAAUGAGGUGUGUGUAUGAAUGCAGUGUGUGUAUGAAUGCAGUGUUUGUGUAUGAGUGCAGUGUUUGUGUAUGAAUGCAGUGUUUGUGUAUGAGUGCAGUGUGUGUAUGAGUGCAGUGUGUGUAUGAAUGCAGUGUGUGUGUAUGAGUGCAGUGUUUGUGUAGGAAGGCAGUGUUUGUGUAUGAGUGCAGUGUGUGUGCAUAAAUGCAGUGUGUGCAUGAAUGCAGUGUGUGUAUGAGUGCAGAGUGUGUAUGAGUGCAGUGUGUGUGUAUGAGUGCAGUGUGUGUGUAUGAAUGCAGUGUGUGUAUGAAUGCAGUGUGUGUAUGAGUGCAGUGUGUGUAUAUGAGUGCAGUGUGUGUGUAUGAGUGCAGUGUGUGUGUGAUGCAUUGUGUGUUUGUGUUGCAGAGCCUUGGUGGGGGGUGGGCAUUUUUAUAAAAAAAAUAAUAAUAUUAUUUUAAAUUUUUUUGUUAUAUUAUUAUUUUUUUUAAUUAUUUUUUUAUUAUUUUUAUUUUUAUUUAUAUAUUAUUAAUUUAUUUAUUUUUUGUCCCCCCCCUCCCUGCUUGAUACAUGGCAGGGAGGGGGGCUCUCUUUCCCUGGUGGUCCAGUGGCAUUGGCAGUUCAGUGGAGGGAGGAGGGGGGCUGGCAGAGCUGUUACUUACCUCUCCUGCAGCUCCUGUCGGUCCGUGCAGCUCUUCUCUCAGCUCACACUGUAAGUCUCGCGAGAGCCGCACUAUGACCCCGCGGCUCUCGCUAGACUUACACUGGGAGCUGACCGAGGUGCUGCCCGGACCGACGCGGAGGAGGAGAGAGCUGACAGGAGCUGCAGGAGAGGUAAGCGCUCGCUGCCAGCCCCCAGUCUGUAUUAUGGCAAUGUAAGUUGCCAUAAUACAGACAGUGACUCGAGUAUAAGCCGAGUUGGGGUUUUUCAGCACAAAAAAUGUGCUGAAAAACUCGGCUUAUACUCGAGUAUAUACGGUACUUUGAAUUCAGUUUCAAUUCCUGGCAAUUCACACUUGAAUGUAUAACAUUACUGUGUCAUGUGCUGUGUCAAUAAUUUAAUUCCAUGAUUACACAAAACGUAUUCCUGAUCACAUUUUGAUGUAACAAAUAACGCAAUUAUGGGUAUAAUAGAAAAAUUUUAUGAAAAUGUAAAAAGAAACACAGACUAAUAAAGGCAGCAGUCACUAAUAGAAAACACCUCAAUGAUUCUGAUGCACACAAUCUAGGAGGACUAAGCUCUCAUAUACACAGGAAAAGUACACAUUGUAGUCGUGCACCCUUGUAGUCCGGCCCUGUUUAUCGUAAUGACAGAGUUAUGCGUUGUCAUUCUCUUUUGGCAACAUUAAACCGGGAAUAUUUGUGCUUUUUUAUUAUUCCAAAUUUGGUAUUUUAUAUUGUUCUUUGGGAUUGAUAAAACUAAUUUUAGGAUUGCAACAUUGCUGUUUUUCCUAAUAAACCUUGUAUAUUGGACUCAUUGUGUUGUGAGUCCUUUUGUUCAUUUCCUGUAUAUGUUUAGAACCUAAUUAGAAAUUAUAUUAUCCUGAGAUGUUUUUCUGUUUGUUUGUUUUGCUGCAAAACAGAUAAUUACACUGUACACAUGUUGUUGCAUUAAAUACAUAUGAUU
rnacentral:lncRNA from 1 species